rnacentral:lncRNA from 10 species
GUAUAUCUCUUUCAUCCUUUUAUUUAUUUUUUAAAAAGACUUCAUUUUUAAAGAGCAGUUUUAGGUUCACAGUAAAACUGAGAAAAAUGUACAGAGGAUUUUUGUGUAGACCUUGCCUCCACACAUGCAUAGACCCCCACAAUAUCUACAUCCUCCACAAGAGUGGCAUAUGUGUUACAACUGAUGAGCCUACAUUGUUGCAUCACUAUCAUUCAAAGUCCAUAGUUUACAUUAGGAUUUAGUCUUGGAGCUAUACAUUCUAUGGAUUUGGACAAAUGUAUAAUGCAUACAGUUAGAGUAUCACACAGAGUAGUUUCAGUGCCCUAAAAAUCCUCUAUGCUCUACCUCUUCAUCUCUCCCUCUUCCCUAUUUCCAGGAAACUACAAUCCUUUUACUGUUUCCAUGGUUUUGCUUUUUCCAGAAUGUCAUAUAGUUGGAAUUAUACAGCAUGUAGCUUCUUCAGAUUUUCAUUUCUGUGGUGACAUAUGACAUGGAACAUACUUUCAUAUGCUUAUUUACCAUCUGUAUUUCUUAUUUGGUGAGCUGUCUGUGAAGGUCUUUGAUCCAUAUUUUAAUCAGGUAUUUGUUGUCGUAUUAUUGAGUUUUAAGAGUUCUUUGCAUAUUUUGGAUUACUUGUGAGAAACACACUCACCCAUCCAAACCCAAAGAAUGGACUUAGAGGCACAAAGAACAGCAAACGGUCUUGCAAGAUCAGGUGUCUGAUAGGCAGGCACAUCCUGGGCAGUCACAACAGGUAAUUUAUCUCCUAGCAUGCAAGUCCCUCCCCCAGUUCCUUAUUGGUCAAGUACUAUGGGGUUACAAUCUUCCCAGACGUCACCUAAGUUUUAUUAUUUCCCUUAUAAGGUUAUAUGCCAUCCCAGUCCCCGCUUAAGUUUUGAUUUCCCAAUAAUGAAACUUUCUUCCCUUUUAUGGGCUGACCCCUCCUCUACAUUCUAUUCACUUACUGUGACCUUCUAGGUUCAUGAGCCAUGCAAUUUGUUACAUUUGCAGGCUGGCUGCCAGUACUUAGACUUAUCAUGCCUUGAAAGUGGACCAUUUAAAAUGUUUUCUCACAUUACUGUCCUUUAACCAGAUUUGUCUUUUGCAAAUAUUUUACCCCAGUCUGUGGCUUACCUUUUCAUUCUCUUGUCAAUGUCUUUUGCAGAGCCGAAAUCUUUACUUUUAAUAAAAUUCGGCUUAACAACUUUUUGUCGUGGAUUGUGUCUUUGACAUCGUACCUAAAAAGUUUUCUCUGAACCAAAGUCUUUUUCUAGAAUGUGUCUUGAACUUAUCACAGCCUACCUUCAAGUGAUAUUAUACCACUUUAUCUUGAGCUAGCUCCUGUGUGGAUUUUCAGAAUGAAGUGUUUGGAAUUAUUGAAACCAUCAGCAUGUGAUUUAUCUACUCUCAUAAAGGCCCCAGCACAGCCGACCUGCAAAGAAUAAGCAGAAGCUCAGGGUACUUAGGAUCAGAAAAUUGGCACCUACCAUUGCUACCCACUGUAGCCUAGGACAAAUCCCCGAAGCCUUGAGGACUCCAUGUCUUCAUCUUCCAAACAGUGAUAAUACCAAGCACUUCAUAAAGUUGUGAUGAGAGUGAAAGAUGAUGGUCCAUGGAAUUCGAAUUUGCCAGAAUACAUCUUUGUACAAAUGCUUUGACUUUCAAUGACGCUACAGCCUCUUGUGAGAUUGCAAAUCCAGGGGACCUAACCCUGUCUUGGUGAGUCAUAAAAGGCAUCCUAAAAAUAACUACUUUUUCUGUUAAAAGUUAAAGGAUGAUUAAUGUUUAUUUAAAUAAAGGAAAAGGGAAAAAGAGACACAAGUGAGCUUGAAAGAGGGAAAAGCCAUUGUGAAGACAGAGCGGUGAAAGAAAGCUAACACAAGAAAAGAACAGAGAGAGAGAGAGAAAAAAGUUCAAUGAAGUAAAAGAAAUCACAUAAACUGGAGGGGAAGGGACCCAUGGGGGAGAAUGGAGAGAGCCCUGCCCAGAUCGUGCAGAAGAGAUUUUUUUAAAAAUUCUAAUUUUAAAGCAUAUUGGAUGUCAAAUGUUAAUAUUUGCUGCUUCUUAGCCACUCAGUAUCCAUUUACCUUACUUCCAAAAACUGCUUUCAAUAUUUUUCUGAGAUAUUGGACUCCUACAUCCACAUUCAUAGACUCUCAGGCCCUGUGCUUCUGAUGGCAUUGAUUCCACCCCUGGCUACAGGGGAGGAGGAGCAGCUUGCACUUUGUUCAGUACUGCCGUUGGAUCUGGGCAAGAAGGUCCUGCCCUGCACCCUGUGCCCAGAGGGCCUUGCUUUGCCCUUCUUCCAUCAUAUUCGUCUCCAUGGUGUAGAGCGCGCACUGGGCCAAGCUGCUGUGCCCAACUGGAGCCCCUACUUCCUGUUAUAGUAAAUGUUCUAGAUCUAGGUUUCUAGGCUUCCAAAAUUACCUACCUAAACAUCCUCACUCCUUACAAGCAAUGUGGUAGUCUCUUCCCCCUUCUGAAGGCAGAUCCUUCAGCUAGCAUGCUUAUGCUUACACUUGGCUCAGGAGUGGGUAAGAGGUGGUUUUUUGUGGUUGUGUGGACCAAACAUGGUUGUACAGGCAGGGGUGUCGACAUAUGUGCAUGUGAGGCCCCUCCUGCUAUAGAGUAGAGCCAGGGAAGGAAAGAGAAUGAGUCACGCUUUGUGCUACCUUCCUCUGUGAUGCUGCAUUCCAGAGAAAGACCCCAAAUAGUCUGGGAAUUCUAAAUGCAAAAUGUUAUUAUGAUGAUAUAUUGCCAAGGUAAGAGAACAGAACAUAUUUUACUUAGCAGAUAAUUUGGUUUAUACCAUUAAAAUAUUUCAACAUAUGGUAUAUAGGUCUCCAUCUAUAAUCUUGCUCUGGCCCGCGCUAAGAGUCUGGAGUGGGACUAGCCUGGCCAUUCAAAGCAGAACAUUACACUGGCCAUGGUGACAGGUCAAAGUUUGGCCAUGGGCUCCAGGCAAAGAUAAAGAGAAACACUGAAGGUUUUACUGGUCUCCUCGGCAAGACACUAUUCCUCUUACCACUUGGCUUGAAGCUGAGAAGAUGAGGGUCCCGGAGUAGCAGCAUCCCUCUUGUCACCGUGUGGCAUCUCAGAAGGAAUCUGAAUGAUUUAUGCAGGAAUGGGUUUUGAAAAGUGGAGAAAAAACAAGGCCUAGCCAUUGAUCUCUUGAUUAAUUAGUAGUUAAACUCAGAUUGAUCCUGAACUUUUUCCAUUAGGUAAUCCAAUAAAUUUCAUGUAAAAUGCAUCAGUUUGGACUGAGAUUUCCAUCGCUUCUCUCAAUCAAUACAUAGUAGCAAAUAAAAAACAUAAUAAUAGAUGAUUUUUAAUCCACCCCUUUUAAUCAAACAAUUCCAUUUCACCCAUUCAUUAUCUCUUACCUCUAUCCAGACAUUAAUUUACUGAGAUAUUAAUGGUCAUGCACAGGAGGUAAGAUAGCAUAAUUAUUAGGGAGAAGUCAAAUAAACCUUAAAAGCUCAUGACUUGGUCACACUGAAGCCAACUGGAUGUUCUUGUUUGGGAUUUAGAUCCCUGAAGAAGUGUCCCUGUCCUACAUAGUGACAGUUGAGAUAUCAUUUAUGGUGCCAUGGUAGCAUCAGGCAUCCUACAACAAUUAUGUUGAUGUCUAUUGAUGGUGCUGCUGGCAGAGAUAUCCUGACCAGAUGGUCCCUAUAGAGGAAACUACCUGGACUGUAUUUCCUUUCGUCUGGUCUCUCUCAUCUCAGUUCAUUCUCUAAGCUUAGUUCUUCAGCUUCCCAUCAAUUCUGGGAGUUACUGGGUCUCCUCCUAAGACAGCCUUCCUUAGGCGGAAUUGGACUUUAUUGUAUAUAACCAGGCAUCCUUCCAGACACAGACAUCUACUGUAUGGGGUGCAAGAGUGUCUUAAAAGGCCAUAUACCCUAAGGCGCAGGAUAGAGGCUAGAUAGCAGCAUUGGUCUGGGAUUGACUGUUGAGUUUAGUUGGGGCUGAAGAUAAUUUUAAAAUUCUUUAUAUUAAAGAAUAGGAUUCUGGAAGCCACAUUCAAAUAAAUAUUUUCUGUUGAUGAAAUGAUUACAUGACUGCAUGUGGUCACCAGAAAAAAAAGUGUCCACUGAGGGUCAGGGUGGAGACCCUGAUAUCACUAAAAUUAAAAAGUUUGUUGGGCAUAGGAUCUUCAAGGAAGAGAGAGUGAGGCAGCUGCCUUUCAU